UCCCUGGUGGUCUGAUGGUUAGGACUCAGCAUUUUCACUGCUGCAGCCUGGGUUCAAUUCCUGGUCUGGGAA
rnacentral:tRNA from 1 species